UACAGAGGUCUCAAGCGUUGUUCGGAUUCAUUGGGCGUAAAGGGUGCGUAGGCGGCGCGGUAAGUCGGGUGUGAAAUCUUGGAGCUUAACUCCGAAACUGCAUUCGAUACUGUCGUGCUUGAGGACUGGAGAGGAGACUGGAAUUUACGGUGUAGCGGUGAAAUGCGUAGAUAUCGUAAGGAAGACCAGUGGCGAAGGCGGGUCUCUGGACAGUUCCUGACGCUGAGGCACGAAGGCCAGGGGAGCAAACGGG
rnacentral:rRNA from 1 species